rnacentral:lncRNA from 1 species
GGGCAAAGAAGGGCAGGAACUCUUGGGUGGAGGAAGACAUAUGAAUGGAGUUACAAAUCACCCUGCAGUGCUGUGUAAACGUUGCUGCUUGGAAACUAUGUGGGACUGAUUACAGUGUACAGACCUCGGAGAACAUUCCUGGUUUCCAACUGACCAAGACCAAGCCGGCUCCAGAUGAUAUACGGCUGGAGGUUUCUUUCUCUCUCUUUUAAAAAUAUGAAUCCUGUGAACCAAACGGUAAUGCUGAGAAAGGCUUCCACAAUGUUUU